AUUGAACGCUGGCGGCAUGCCUUACACAUGCAAGUCGAACGGUAACAGGUUAAGCUGACGAGUGGCGAACGGGUGAGUAAUGUAUCGGAACGUGCCCAGUUGUGGGGGAUAACUGCUCGAAAGAGCAGCUAAUACCGCAUACGACCUGAGGGUGAAAGCGGGGGAUCGCAAGACCUCGCGCAAUUGGAGCGGCCGAUAUCAGAUUAGGUAGUUGGUGGGGUAAAGGCUCACCAAGCCGACGAUCUGUAGCUGGUCUGAGAGGACGACCAGCCACACUGGGACUGAGACACGGCCCAGACUCCUACGGGAGGCAGCAGUGGGGAACUUUGGACAAUGGGCGCAAGCCUGAUCCAGCCAUGCCGCGUGCGGGAAGAAUGCCUUCGGGUUGUAAACCGCUUUUGUCAGGGAAGAAACGCUCUGGGUUAAUACCCUGGGGUAAUGACGGUACCUGAAGAAUAAGCACCGGCUAACUACGUGCCAGCCGCCGCCGUAACAC
rnacentral:rRNA from 1 species